rnacentral:sRNA from 2 species
AUAAAAUUUUAGCCGAAUCCAGAGAUGGUACGGAGGAACCAAUGUUGGGGUGAAUCUAGUAACAACUAGUAGGGAAGACCUUCUCCCGAACCGUCAGCUAACUUCGGAGGCAGGAAGGGGAAUUACA